rnacentral:rRNA from 1 species
CUUGGAGGAUGUAUAGUUAAAACUGUGUGUGUUUAUUAUAAAUACAUAAACGAUUUAUUCGUAUAAAAUUCUAGGUAGAAUUAUGAUAAUGACAUUGUCUAUCUAUAAGUCUUGACCAACAUGCGUGCCAGCAGUCGCGGCAAGACGCUAAAGACAAGUGUUAUUCAUCUUUAAUAGGUUUAAAGCGUACCUAGACGGUAAAUUAAGCCUUAACCGGAACUAAUUUAACUAGAGUUAGAUGUAAGGGUGCAUUAACGUACUGUUGAGUGUAGAGAUGAAAUUCUUUGAUACCAGAUGAUUGGCACGGGUUUAGGCGAAAGCAUCACCUUAUGUAAUAACUGACGUUGAGGGACGAAGGCUUUGAGUAGCGAACAGGAUUAGAUACCCUAGUAGUCUAAGCAGAAAAUGAUGAGUGUCAUAAGUUAAAUAUUUUUUAAUCUAUAAAUGAAAGUGUAAGCAUUCCACCUCAAGAGUAAGAUGGCAACAUUGGAAUUGAAAUCAUUAGACCGUUUCUGAAACCAGUAGUGAAGUAUGUUGUUUAAUUAGAUUAUACACAAAGAACCUUACCACAACUUGAAUAUUUUACAAGCGUUGCACGGCUGUCUUCAGUUAAUGUCGUGAGAUUGUGGUUAGUUCCAUUUAAUUAACGUAAACCCUUACUUUAUUUUAUUAUUAUAUAAAGUUGUUCGCCGUUAUAUUGGUAUAGAUAAAAGGGAGUAAGACAAGUCAUCAUGGCCUUAAUGUUG